GACGAACGCUGGCGGCGUGCCUAAUACAUGCAAGUUGAGCGCUGAAGGUUGGUACUUGUACCAACUGGAUGAGCAGCGAACGGGUGAGUAACGCGUGGGGAAUCUGCCUUUGAGCGGGGAACAACAUUUGGAAACGAAUGCUAAUACCGCAUAAAAACUUUAAACACAAGUUUUAAGUUUGAAAGAUGCAAUUGCAUCACUCAAAGAUGAUCCCGCGUUGUAUUAGCUAGUUGGUGAGGUAAAGGCUCACCAAGGCGAUGAUACAUAGCCGACCUGAGAGGGUGAUCGGCCACAUUGGGACUGAGACACGGCCCAAACUCCUACGGGAGGCAGCAGUAGGGAAUCUUCGGCAAUGGACGAAAGUCUGACCGAGCAACGCCGCGUGAGUGAAGAAGGUUUUCGGAUCGUAAAACUCUGUUGGUAGGGAAGAACGUUGGUGAGAGUGGAAAGCUCAUCAAGUGACGGUAACUACCCAGAAAGGGACGGCUAACUACGUG
rnacentral:rRNA from 1 species